GAUGAACGCUGGCGGCGUGCCUAAUACAUGCAAGUCGAGCGAACGGACGAGAAGCUUGCUUCUCUGAUGUUAGCGGCGGACGGGUGAGUAACACGUGGAUAACCUACCUAUAAGACUGGGAUAACUUCGGGAAACCGGAGCUAAUACCGGAUAAUAUUUUGAACCGCAUGAUUCAAGAGUGAAAGACGGUCUUGCUGUCACUUAUAGAUGGAUCCGCGCUGCAUUAGCUAGUUGGUAAGGUAACGGCUUACCAAGGCAACGAUGCAUAGCCGACCUGAGAGGGUGAUCGGCCACACUGGAACUGAGACACGGUCCAGACUCCUACGGGAGGCAGCAGUAGGGAAUCUUCCGCAAUGGGCGAAAGCCUGACGGAGCAACGCCGCGUGAGUGAUGAAGGUCUUCGGAUCGUAAAACUCUGUUAUUAGGGAAGAACAUAUGUGUAAGUAACUGUGCACAUCUUGACGGUACCUAAUCAGAAAGCCACGGCUAACUACGU
rnacentral:rRNA from 1 species